rnacentral:rRNA from 1 species
GACGAACGCUGGCGGCGUGCUUACACAUGCAAGUCGAACGGAAAGGCCCUGCUUUUGUGGGGUGCUCGAGUGGCGAACGGGUGAGUAACACGUGAGUAACCUGCCCUUGACUUUGGGAUAACUUCAGGAAACUGGGGCUAAUACCGGAUAGGAGCUCCUGCUGCAUGGUGGGGGUUGGAAAGUUUCGGCGGUUGGGGAUGGACUCGCGGCUUAUCAGCUUGUUGGUGGGGUAGUGGCUUACCAAGGCAUUGACGGGUAGCCGGCCUGAGAGGGUGACCGGCCACAUUGGGACUGAGAUACGGCCCAGACUCCUACGGGAGGCAGCAGUGGGGAAUAUUGCACAAUGGGCGGAAGCCUGAUGCAGCAACGCCGCGUGCGGGAUGACGGCCUUCGGGUUGUAAACCGCUUUCGCCUGUGACGAAGCGUGAGUGACGGUAAUGGGUAAAGAAGCACCGGCUAACUACGUGCCAGCAGCCGCGGUGAUACGUAGGGUGCGAGCGUUGUCCGGAUUUAUUGGGCGUAAAGGGCUCGUAGGUGGUUGAUCGCGUCGGAAGUGUAAUCUUGGGGCUUAACCCUGAGCGUGCUUUCGAUACGGGUUGACUUGAGGAAGGUAGGGGAGAAUGGAAUUCCUGGUGGAGCGGUGGAAUGCGCAGAUAUCAGGAGGAACACCAGUGGCGAAGGCGGUUCUCUGGGCCUUUCCUGACGCUGAGGAGCGAAAGCGUGGGGAGCGAACAGGCUUAGAUACCCUGGUAGUCCACGCUGUAAACGGUGGGUACUAGGUGUGGGGUCCAUUCCACGGGUUCCGUGCCGUAGCUAACGCUUUAAGUACCCCGCCUGGGGAGUACGGCCGCAAGGCUAAAACUCAAAGGAAUUGACGGGGCCCCGCACAAGCGGCGGAGCAUGCGGAUUAAUUCGAUGCAACGCGUAGAACCUUACCUGGGUUUGACAUGGAUCGGGAGUGCUCAGAGAUGGGUGUGCCUCUUUUGGGGUCGGUUCACAGGUGGUGCAUGGCUGUCGUCAGCUCGUGUCGUGAGAUGUUGGGUUAAGUCCCGCAACGAGCGCAACCCUUGUUCACUGUUGCCAGCACGUUAUGGUGGGGACUCAGUAGAGACCGCCGGGGUCAACUCGGAGGAAGGUGGGGAUGACGUCAAGUCAUCAUGCCCCUUAUGUCCAGGGCUUCACGCAUGCUACAAUGGCUGGUACAGAGAGUGGCGAGCCUGUGAGGGUGAGCGAAUCUCGGAAAGCCGGUCUCAGUUCGGAUUGGGGUCUGCAACUCGACCUCAUGAAGUCGGAGUCGCUAGUAAUCGCAGAUCAGCAACGCUGCGGUGAAUACGUUCCCGGG